CCUACGGGGGGCAGCAGUGGGGAAUAUUGGGCAAUGGACGCAAGUCUGACCCAGCAACGCCGCGUGAAGGAAGAAGGCUUUCGGGUUGUAAACUUCUUUUAAGGGGGAAGAGCAGAAGACGGUACCCCUUGAAUAAGCCACGGCUAACUAUGUGCCAGCAGCCGCGGUAAUACGUCGGUGGCAAGCGUUGUGCGGAUUUACUGGGGGUAAAGGGCGUGCAGCCGGGGAGACAAGUCAUUUGUGAAAUCCACGGGCUCAACCCGUGAAUCGCAUUGGAAACUGGUUCCCUUGAGUUUCGGAGAGGUAAGCGGAAUUCCAUGUGAAGCGGUGAAAUGCGUAGAUAUAAGGAAGAACACCAGAGGCGAAGGCGGAUUACUGGACGAUAACUGACGGUGAGGCGCGAAAGCGUGGGGAGCAAACAGGAUUAGAUACCCGGGUAGUC
rnacentral:rRNA from 1 species